rnacentral:rRNA from 1 species
CACGCCGUAAACGGUGGGCGCUAGGUGUGGGAUGCUGUUCACGUGUCCCGUGCCGUAGCUAACGCAUUAAGCGCCCCGCCUGGGGAGUACGGCCGCAAGGCUAAAACUCAAAGGAAUUGACGGGGGCCCGCACAAGCGGCGGAGCAUGUGGAUUAAUUCGAUGCAACGCGAAGAACCUUACCUGGGUUUGACAUGCACUGGACCGGCGUAGAGAUACGCCUUCCCUUGUGGCUGGUGCACAGGUGG